GUUGAUUAUCUGAGUGUUUUAUUUAAUAAGUCAAAACUUUCAACAACGGAUCUCUUGGUUUUGGCAUCGAUGAAGAACGCAGCGAAAUCCGAUAAGUAAUGUGAAUUGCAGAAUUCAGUGAAUCAUAGAAUCUUUGAACGCACAUUGCGCCCAUUAGUAUUCUAGUGGGCAUGCCUGUUCGAGCGUCAUUUCAACCCCUAAGCGCAGAUUAUUGUUGGGACUAUACGGCUUAGUAGUUCCCCAAAGACAUUGGCGGAGUGGCAGCAGUCCUGUGAGCGUAGUAAUUCUUUAUCUCGCUUUUGUUAGGCGCUGCCCCCCCGGCCGUAAAACCCCGCAAUUUUUUCAUGGUUGACCUCGGAUCAGGUAGGAAUGCCCGCUGAACUUAAGCAUAUCAAUAAGCGGAGGAAAAGAAACCAACAGGGAUUGCCCCAGUAACG
rnacentral:rRNA from 1 species